AUUGAACGCUAGCGGGAUGCUUUACACAUGCAAGUCGAACGAGUGGCGGACGGGUGAGUAAUAUAUCGGAAUGUGCCCAGUAGAGGGGGCUAACUCCUCGAAAGAGUGGCUAAUAACGCCUCCUUUCGGAUCGGCCGGUAUCGGAUUAGCUAGUGGGUGGGGUAAAGGCGCACCAAGGACACGAUCCGUAGCUGGUUUGAGAGGAUGACCAGCCACACUGGGACUGAGACACAGCCCAGACUCCGACGGGAGGCAGCAGUGGGGAAUUUUGGACAAUGGGGGAAACCCUGAUCCAGCCAUCCCGCGUGUAUGAGAAGGCCUUCGGGUUGUAAAGUACUUUUGGCAGAGAAGCGGUAUCAGCAGAAUAAGCACCGGCUAACUACGUGCCAGCAGCCGCGGUAAUUC
rnacentral:rRNA from 1 species